rnacentral:tRNA from 1 species
CGCUCGGUGGGGCAGACGAGCUUGGCCCGGCGGUCGGCCGGGUCGGGCCUGCGUUCCACGUAGCCGAGCGCC